rnacentral:lncRNA from 1 species
AUGGUGCAUUUAUUAAAGCACGAUAGCAAACGCUCUUGUUUCCUGCGCCUUACUCCACACCCACUACAUCAAGCGUUACACUUAUUUAAGGCCUUCAUCCGCCUUUACCUCGCCCACCACAAGGAGGAGCGCAUCGACGUGCUGCAGCUGGCCCAAGAACCCUUCCUCAUGCCCCCCUUCCGCAAGGCCCUGGCCACCGGUCCUGGGCCGUUGGCAUCGGGCUCCACGCCCUCCACCUCCAGCGCAUACACAGCAGUGCCUCGAACUGAGGCGCCCAACACCAUCCCAGAGGGACCCUGUGGGGGCCACAUUACUCAAACGCCCUCCCUUCUAGAUAGGGGGAUGGGGGAAGGAGGAUGGAGGGGGUAAAAACAGACUAAAGGAUGGAGGAGGAAUAUCUGAAGUGCCCUCCCUAUCCUCACCCCUCCUAAGACAUGAAGGGGCAGUGCCAGUCUAUGGCUUGUCUGUAAGACCCAAUGGCUGUACAUGUACACACCCCUGCCACAAUGAAGAGAAAGACCUUGCUUGGCCUGUCCAGUGGGCUGCAUCACAGGGUCAUAGGAAAACGGACUGAAGUCACAGUAUGUUGUGUGUGUGCAUACCUGUUUUCAGGAAAACCAAACAGCUCAAAUCAAAUUGUAUUUGUCACAUAUAUGUGUUUAGCAGAUGUUAUUGCGGGUGUAGUGAAAUGCUUGUAAGCUAGAAGCAUUGCAGCCCUAUCUGUCGGCACCAUUUUCUUACGUAUCCAUUCCAUUUGAUAUUUUGAGAGAAAGGCUUUUUUAUAAAUUAUUGCUUGAGUUGUAUCAUAAGUUGAACUCUAUAUAUUUCCCAAUAAUAGAAUCAAUUGCCCCCCUCCCUCUUUUUGAAGGGCACAAAUGAAGGGGGAGUUUCUAUUUUUGAUGACCAAAGUUGAAGGCAUGCCUGGCUGAUACAACAAUGUUACGUUUUACACACGUCUAACUGUCAAGUGAAAGAAAGAAAUAAUUUUCACUAGGAUCAUCACUUUUAACUGAUUUGAUCAGAUUUAAAUAUUUUCUUGGAUAUUGGACUGGGAGUUUACUUUGUUAUUUGGAUGGUUGUCCAUCUUUUUUUCAUGAGGCUUUCCCCCAAAAUGGAGAGGGAGAGACUUAAUAGAAAUGCAUAUAAACCAUUUAACCGACUUUUGGUAUAACUUUGUGGUUCGUUAGCAAGGAGUUACGUCAAAGAUAA